ACCAUGAUAUGCUGCUAGGUGUCACUCAUGGUUUGCGGAAGCCCUAAACGUGUAUAAUUACUAAAGGGAGAAUUGAAAGUAAGUUUCAAAUUCACAAUCGAUUUGAAAUGGUUUUAAUCGCCCACUGCCUCGCUAAAAGGAACCUAAUGGAUCGUACACCGUGUAAGGUGGAGAUUGAAGAAACAAUGGAAAUGAGUAAGAAUAAUUAAAUGGUUUAAUUAUAUAUGGCAAGGAUUAAUUAAUAUGUUAAUUAAUCAAACAAAUAAGUUCGUUAAAGACCUCGGGAUAGUUUUGGACCUUAAGGCCCAAUGGGCUUUGAACGUCAAGUCCAUUAACUUAAGUUGUAUGACAACUUAAUGAAUAAUGAUUCACAAAGGCCCAAUUAGUCCAAAAAUAUCCCAAUGGCCGGCCAUAUUAGAGAUGGAGUGGGUUUUGGACUUAUUUACAAGUUUGCCAUUCCAAUGAAUUAAGGUAUAAAUAUGACUUUAUAGCCAAAAUUCAUUAAGGGUUUUUCUUUUGGAGAAAAUUGGUGAGAACUUG
rnacentral:lncRNA from 1 species